GCGUCAGUGGUGCAACGGUUUAGUACUUGCUGCUGGAAAGAGUAAGAUCUGAGUUCAAAUCCCGGGUGACGUA